rnacentral:rRNA from 1 species
UUGAUCAUGGCUCAGGAUGAAGCCUGGCGGCGUGCCUAACACAUGCAAGUCGAACGAAGCAAUUUGAAUUGAGAUUCGUCAAGAUUGAGAUUGACUAGUGGCGGACGGGUGAGUAAUGUAUGAGCAACCUGCCUUUCAGAGGGGGACAACAGUUGGAAACGACUGCUAAUACCGCAUAAUGUUUUGAGGGGGCAUCCCUUUGAAACCAAAGGAGCAAUCCGCUGAAAGAUGGGCUCAUAUCUGAUUAGUUAGUUGGCAGGGUAACGGCCUACCAAGACUGCGAUCAGUAGCCGGACUGAGAGGUUGAACGGCCACAUUGGGACUGAGAUACGGCCCAGACUCCUACGGGAGGCAGCAGUGGGGAAUAUUGGGCAAUGGGCGAAAGCCUGACCCAAGCAACGCCGCGUGAAGGAAGAAGGUCUUCGGAUUGUAAACUUCUUCUAUGAGGGACGAAGGACGUGACGGUACCUCAUGAAUAAGCCACGGCUAACUACGUGCCAGCCGCUGC